GACGAACGCUGGCGGCGUGCCUAAUACAUGCAAGUAGAACGCACAGUUUAUACCGUAGCUUGCUACACCAUAAACUGUGAGUUGCGAACGGGUGAGUAACGCGUAGGUAACCUGCCUGGUAGCGGGGGAUAACUAUUGGAAACGAUAGCUAAUACCGCAUAAUAUUAAUUAUUGCAUGAUAAUUGAUUGAAAGAUGCAAUUGCAUCACUACCAGAUGGACCUGCGUUGUAUUAGCUAGUAGGUGAGGUAACGGCUCACCUAGGCGACGAUACAUAGCCGACCUGAGAGGGUGAUCGGCCACACUGGGACUGAGACACGGCCCAGACUCCUACGGGAGGCAGCAGUAGGGAAUCUUCGGCAAUGGACGAAAGUCUGACCGAGCAACGCCGCGUGAGUGAAGAAGGUUUUCGGAUCGUAAAGCUCUGUCGUAAGAGAAGAACGGGUGUGAGAGUGGAAAGUUCACACUGUGACGGUAUCUUACCAGAAAGGGACGGCUAACUACGUG
rnacentral:rRNA from 1 species